rnacentral:lncRNA from 1 species
GAUCUGUUUGCUUGUUCUUCUCGCCGUGUAGUGAUCUAUGGUUUAUAGUUUUCGAAAUUUUUGUUUCUUGGUAGAUGGUUUUAAGUUUUCGUCGGAUCUUAAACUUGUUUCGUUUUUGGUUGUUGUUGAGAUUUGCCCAAUGAUGCAUAAAAUUAUGUUAUAGAGCGGUAGUAUUUGGGUAAUCUCCGGCGUGUUGUAGUAAUAACACUGUUGUUUAUACCUUAAAAGCCUUGAACGCUGUCGCUUCGUAGUCGACGACAUUCACACACGCGCACAUCUCAAUUGCACCACUUCACCAUCCCCACACACGUGCGUCGGAUGCGAAGCGGUGGUGUUCAGGGAUUUUUUUUUAAGGUUGCUGGAUUUUAUCCAUUUACUGUCAAACCGUGAAUGAUCAGAUUAUAGCUAUGAGAUCUGAGGGCUCCUGUUUUUUUUGUAAUUAAAGCUUCGUUUUUUAUAUCUGUUCAAGUUUUUUCUGUGUUUUCUUUGCCCAUUGAUGUGAAAACUCAAUUCUGAGUGGUGCCCUGGUUUUUAAAUUGUGAUCUCGUUGUUAUCAUUGCAGCUCAUCAUCAUCAUCAUCAUUGUCAAUGACUAAGCUUCUUCUUCUUCUUCUUCUUCCUCUUUGUCGUCUCUCUCUCUGCUGCUGCUGCUGCUACUGCUACUGGUUUAUUGCAAUGGUAGCUGAGGUUGAUUUUAAAAACCGGAUUUUGAUGUGCCACACAUGACAGAUUUGUUUACUGAGGGUUUGUUUUAUAGCUUUUAUAUUUUGUUUUUGUGAAUCAUGUACAGUUUUUUUGUUGUUUUCGAUAGACUUAAAGUCCUGUGAUGAUUCUUUAAUGUGUUGGAAGUGGUGCCGCUUGGAUGUUUCUAGCUGAGACUCAUCAUCUCCAUUGUUGUACCUGCUUCUCUCUCUCUCUUUCUCUCUCUCUCUCUCUAUCUUUAUAUAUAUAUAUAUAUAUAUACAUCAACAUACAUGCAUGGAUGGUUGCAGCAAUGGUAAUGAUGAGAGAUUGGCUUGGAUGAAACGUAUGCGUUGUAUCAUCUAUGAACAUAUAAAUGUUUUCUAAGAACUGAGGGCUUUUUAUACUUAUUGGUCCUAUCUUAGUAUUUCUAUCGUUUAAACUGCUUGCUUGAAAUUAUUUGGUUAGAUUUGAAUUUUGUAUCUUAGUAAAAUUUGCAGGAGUCCGAACAUCUGAGGAGUUUUAAUCUUCGUUUGUGGUGGCCAACAUUUGCCUCCUCUUUUGAUAGAUUUUACUGUGCUUGAAUCCAAAGAGAAGUCAGGUUUUGUUGUAGACCCAAUUGCAUGUGGUCAUUGCCAUCUCUUUGUUGUAACAUUUAGUAAAAGCUUUAUUGUUUAAUUCUUUCGAGUUGUGUAUUCUUUUGAACAUAAUAAAUACAUGUAGUAUGUUUCCCCUCAUAAAACAAUGUUAAUGUAAUAGUUGAAUUAUUGUAGACAUAUAUUAUCAAAGUA